GCUGUGGUGGCUCAAUGGGUUGAGCAUUGUCCCAUGAACCAAGAGGCCCUGGGUUCGAUUCCCAGUCAGGGCA
rnacentral:tRNA from 1 species